CUCCCUCCCUGCGCGGGCUCCAAGGAAAGUUUUGUAUUUUUCCGACGAGGCCGGCCCAGAGGGGCCCGAGCCAGCUGCGCCUCGCACCCUGCCAGCACCCGCCCUACGCCGGGAGGUUGAGCCCCAGGGACUGGAGACCAUCCUCACCAGCGCCCUGAGCCAGUACGGAAGGGAGAAACAGACCCGGAGAGAGCCAGGGACUUGUCCAAGCUCCGCAGCAAGGAGGCCAGACCAGGGCACUGCGGUGAGCCUGGGUGGGGAAAGGCCUGCAGGCUCCUGGAGGUCUCGUGAGCUCAGUCCGUGCCCUGUGCAACCGUGGGCCCUGCCUUCUGGAAGCAGACAGAAAGACAAAGGGAGUGGCUGGGAGCAGCCUGGCAGAGCGGCCGGAGAUUGGGAUCUACCUGCCCCGGAGUACUUGCUGGCGCCGGGGAACCCGUCCCUGUUGACAGUGGGCAGUGGAGCCUCCCCCUUGCCAGCCAAAGCACUAUAAAGCCACCCUGAGUCCAGCCCACCGCCGCCCGCUGGUGACCAUGAAGGCUGUCCUCCUCACCCUGCUGGCCAUUGGUUUGGCCCUGCGGCCAGGCACCGCCCUGCAGUGCUUCUCCUGCAAGGCCCGGGCGAGCAACCACGAUUGCCAGCAUGUGCGGAACUGCACUGACUCUGAGACCUACUGCUGGACCAAGCACAUCUG